GGGUGAUGACAAACGAUGAUAACUUAAAUCGAUAUAAUGAGGAUUAGGAUUAAGGGUGGUCUGUAUACCUUUCCGAAGUGCAUUUGGAAGAGACAAGUCCGCAGUAGGAGCAGGGUCAGGUGCAGGACGUGAAUCAACCGAGUCAGAUGCUGGGCGAGGACGACGAUGAUAUGUCAAGAGUGGAGUUUCUAUGGCAGGGAGUCUAGGAGGAGCCACACUAGUCUCUCCAACGGUUGGAAUGGGUAAGACUUCUGUAACGGAAGGUGAAGGAGGAGCUAUAGUAGACUCCUUAAAGGCCGGUAUAGGUAACACCUCAGAUAUAUCAAGAUGGUCAGAAUGGUCAUAAGAGGUAAAGAAAGGUUUAGACUCAAAAAUUGUGACAUCGGCUGACAUAAGAUACGAAGAUUAGAGGAGCUAUAGUAGACUCCCUAAAGGUCGGUAUAGGUAAAACCUCGGAUAUAUCAAGAUGGUCAGAAUGGUCAAAAGAGGUAAAGAAAGGUUUAGACUCAAAAAAUGUGACAUCGGCUGACAUAAGGUACCUACGAAGAUCAGGUGAAUAACAACGAUAGCCCUUCUGAG
rnacentral:lncRNA from 1 species